UCCGUAGGUGAACCUGCGGAAGGAUCAUUAAAGAAACGCCCCGUUUUUUGAAAUGGGUUCUAUUCCCAAACCGUGUAUACAUAUCUUUGUUGCUUUGGCGGGCCGCCUUCGGGCGUUGGCUCCGGCUGAUUGCGCCCGCCAGAGGACCCAAACUCGUUUGUUUAGUGAUGUCUGAGUACCAUAUAAUAGUUUAAAACUUUCAACAACGGAUCUCUUGGUUCUGGCAUCGAUGAAGAACGCAGCGAAAUGCGAUAAGUAAUGUGAAUUGCAGAAUUCAGUGAAUCAUCGAAUCUUUGAACGCACAUUGCGCCCUUUGGUAUUCCGAGGGGCAUGCCUGUUCGAGCGUCAUUAUAACCACUCAAGCCUUGGCUUGGUAUUGGGGUUCGCGGUUUCGCGGCUCUUAAAAUCAGUGGCGGUGCCGUCUGGCUCUAAGCGUAGUAAUUUUUCUCGCUAUAGGGUCCCGGUGGUGGCUUGCCAAAACCCCCCUUAUUUUCCUACGGUUGACCUCGGAUCAGGUAGGGAUACCCGCUGAACUUAA
rnacentral:rRNA from 1 species